rnacentral:rRNA from 1 species
AGUGAACGCUGGCGGUAGGCCUAACACAUGCAAGUCGAACGGCAGCACAGUAAGAGCUUGCUCUUACGGGUGGCGAGUGGCGGACGGGUGCGGAAUACAUCGGAAUCUACUUUUUCGUGGGGGAUAACGUAGGGAAACUUACGCCAAUACCGCAUACGAACUACGGGUGAAAGCAGGGGAUCUUCGGAUCUUGCGCGAUUGAAUGAGGCGAUGUCGGAUUAGCUAGUUGGCGGGGUAAAGGCCCACCAAGGCGACGAUCCGUAGCUGGUCUGAGAGGAUGAUCAGCCACACUGGAACUGAGACACGGUCCAGACUCCUACGGGAGGCAGCAGUGGGGAAUAUUGGACAAUGGGCGCAAGCCUGAUCCAGCCAUACCGCGUGGGUGAAGAAGGCCUUCGGGUUGUAAAGCCCUUUUGUUGGGAAAGAAAAGCAGCAGGUUAAUACCCCGCUGUUCUGACGGUACCCAAAGAAUAAGCACCGGCUAACUUCGUG